GCUGGAAUGCAGUAGUGUGAUCAAAGCUCACCUCCUAGGCUCAAGUGAUCCUUCUACCAACUAAGCCUUUUAAGUAGCUGGGACCACAGCUGUGCACUGGCACACCCAGCUAAUUUUUUGUAGAGAUGGGGUUUCACCAUGUUGUCCAGGAUGGUCUCGAACUCCCGGGCUCAAGCAAUCCUCCCACCUCGGCCUCCCAAGGUGCUGGGAUUACAGGUGUGAGCCACUGGAUCUGGCCCACUCUGACCACUUCUAUUCAACACUAUACUGGGCAUUUUGGCCAGUGCAGUAAGACAAGAAAAGAAACCAGCACUUUGGGAGGCCGAGGGAAAACUGUGAGGAGAUUUUAAAAAAGGAGCUAAAGUAGAAUUUCCUUCUACUUUGCCAGGGUCCUGGGAUCUAAUCCCAUAAAAGUGGCUGUAUUUACAUAUACUGCCCAAAAGAGGGGGCAAUAGGCAUGCUUUCGUAGACCCAGCUGGCUGCCCAUUUGAAAUCUAUUCUUUCCUUCUUCACUGAAGAGUCCUAAAUUUGUUAGGAACAUCAAUUGCUCAGAUAAAAUAGAUAAUUUCCAAGGCACCCUUGGAGCUACCAGUCAUGCAACAGAGGUCUAACUAAUGGGAUGUAAGUACAAACAUGCAAGUGGAGCUUCUGGAAACUACUGUUUUGUUCUCUUUGCGUAGAAAGAGACACAUAUUUGCACCUUUUCCUUACCUAAGCCUAUCCUUUUCACCCCUACUUUUGCCAUCCUUGACAGCAUCGUGGAGGAGUUACAGUAUCAGCCCCGGACAGUUUUGUCUGUAGACUUUUCUACUGUAAGAAGAAAAAGAAACAGACAACAAUAACAAAAAGACAAGCCCCAAUUGAGUUUAAGCCACUGUUAACUUGGUAUGCCAUCAAACACAAUUUUUUAAACCUAAACAAUAGCUAUGGUGUUUCACAGAUUUGACAUAACCAACAACAAAUGGACCACUCCAAUUUUUCUGGAUAGUUAAAAAAUAAGGCCUUCACACCAACACAGGUCCCAGACUGGCACUCUCGAAUGACUAAGUUUGUAAUUAUUUCAUCAGUUCCAUACAUUUAUAAUUAAGUACAGAGAAGAUUAAUGUAGAUUCUUUAUUGAUUCCACCAAUGUAUUAGUAGAU
rnacentral:lncRNA from 10 species